GAGAGUCAAACAGUACGUGAAAUUGUUGAAAGGGAAGCGCUUGCAACCAGACUUGCCCGCGGGCGAUCAGCCGGUAUUCUUACCGGUGCACUCGCCCGCGGUCAGGCCAGCAUCGGUUCGGGCGGCUGGAUAAAGUCCACCGGAACGUAGCUCCUCUCGGGGAGUGUUAUAGCCGGAGGUGCCAUGCAGCCCGCCCGGACCGAGGACCGCGCUUCGGCUAGGAUGCUGGCGUAAUGGUUGUAAGCGACCCGUCUUGAAACACGGACCAAGGAGUCUAACAUCUAUGCGAGUGUUUGGGUGUCAAACCCAUGCGCGCAAUGAAGGUGAACGGAGGUGGGAACCCUUAAGGGCGCACCAUCGACCGAUCCUGAUGUCUUCGGAUGGAUUUGAGUAAGAGCAUAGCUGUUGGGACCCGAAAGAUGGUGAACUAUGCCUGAAUAGGGUGAAGCCAGAGGAAACUCUGGUGGAGGCUCGCAGCGGUUCUGACGUGCAAAUCGAUCGUCAAAUUUGGGUAUAGGGGCGAAAGACUAAUCGAACCAUCUGCUACUAGAUGGCACACGGGCCUGCGCGCCCCAGUAGUCCCCGUGCGGCGGGGGCGACAUCGUCGGUCUUCGGGAACGCCUCAGGCCACCCGCAGUGAGCUUCGGGCCCAUUCACAGACUAAGUGGCGGUGGCCGUGGCCUGGAGCACGGUUAGGAUAUA
rnacentral:rRNA from 1 species